UUGCCUGGAGGUGUUGUUUUAGUGCGGUUUUGAAGGAGGAGAUGCCCUUUCUUUUACACCUGUUGAGAGUGCAUUCCAUAUCUGAUACUACUUCGAGAAAUAGUUAAAGACCUUUUGUUUACAGUGUUUGCAUCCAUCUUGUGAAUAGUUGCAGCAAAUGUUGUCGUCCAUGGUUAAUUUGGGAACGUGCGUAAGAUUUGAAACUAACGCCACCCUAAUGACGUUACGACAAAUGGUGCUAGAGUCUUGCCUGAUGCUACCAUAGCGGGCAUCACCCCAUCAACAACCGGACAGCUGUCAAGUCUACAACACAGCAAACGUCAGCUUCGAAGCGAGAAGUGACGGUCUGCUCUCUGCCAGGAUGAGUGGCGACGGCGAUGGUUUCAACCCUGCUGCAGUGGCUCAGCCAGUAGAAGAUGUGCAAGGAGAUGGGCGGUGGAUGUCACAGCACACUCGAUUUGUGCAGGAGUGCAAGGAUGGAGAACCUGAUGUGCUUUUUGUGGGGGACUCUCUGGUACAAUUAAUGCAGCAAUAUGAGGU